UACGAAGGGUGCAAACGUUGCUCGGAAUUAUUGGGCGUAAAGCGCACGUAGGCGGCUUUGCAAGUCGGAUGUGAAAUCCCUCGGCUCAACCAAGGAAGUGCAUCCGAAACUGCAGAGCUUGAGUACCAAAGAGGAUCGCGGAAUUCCUGGUGUAGCGGUGAAAUGCGUAGAUAUCGUAAGGAAGACCAGUGGCGAAGGCGGGUCUCUGGACAGUUCCGUGGACGCUGAGGCACGAAGGUCAGGGGAGCAAACGGGG
rnacentral:rRNA from 1 species